rnacentral:rRNA from 1 species
CCUACGGGCGGCUGCAGUGGGGAAUAUUGCGCAAUGGGCGAAAGCCUGACGCAGCGACGCCGCGUGAGGGAUGAAGGUCUUCGGAUCGUAAACCUCUGUCAGCAGGGAAGAACGGUCACUGUGCUAAUCAGCAGUGAAUUGACGGUACCUGCAAAGGAAGCACCGGCUAACUCCGUGCCAGCAGCCGCGGUAAUACGGAGGGUGCGAGCGUUAAUCGGAAUUACUGGGCGUAAAGCGCUCGUAGGCGGUAUGUCAAGUCAAGGGUGAAAUCCCCGCGCUCAACGUGGGAACUGCCUUUGAAACUGGCAGACUGGAGGAUGUGAGAGGAUAGUGGAAUUCCAGGUGUAGGAGUGAAAUCCGUAGAUAUCUGGAGGAACAUCAGUGGCGAAGGCGACUAUCUGGCACAUAACUGACGCUGAGGAGCGAAAGCGUGGGUAGCAAACAGGAUUAGAUACCCGGGUAGUC